CCCUUAGAUGUUCUGGGCCGCACGCGCGCUACACUGACGAAGUCAGCGAGCAUGUCCUACGCCGACAGGUGCGGGGAAUCUUGUCAAACUUCGUCGUGAUGGGGAUUGAUUAUUGAAAUUCUUGAUCAUCAACGAGGAAUUCCUAGUAAGCGCAAGUCAGCAGCUUGCGUUGAUUACGUCCCUGCCCUUUGUACACACCGCCCGUCGCUACUACCGAUUGAAUGGUUUAGUGAGAUCUUCGGAUUGGCGCCACUGCGGCUCAGCAAUGGGCUCGGUGGAUGCCGAAAAGUUGAUCAAACUUGACCAUUUAGAGGAAGUAAAAGUCGUAACA
rnacentral:rRNA from 1 species